ACCCGCUGAACUUAAGCAUAUCAAUAAGCGGAGGAAAAGAAACCAACAGGGAUUGCCCUAGUAACGGCGAGUGAAGCGGCAACAGCUCAAAUUUGAAAUCUGGCGUCUUUGGCGUCCGAGUUGUAAUUUGCAGAGGGCGCUUUGGCAUUGGCAGCGGUCCAAGUUCCUUGGAACAGGACGUCACAGAGGGUGAGAAUCCCGUACGUGGUCGCUAGCCUUUACCGUGUAAAGCCCCUUCGACGAGUCGAGUUGUUUGGGAAUGCAGCUCUAAAUGGGAGGUAAAUUUCUUCUAAAGCUAAAUACUGGCCAGAGACCGAUAGCGCACAAGUAGAGUGAUCGAAAGAUGAAAAGCACUUUGGAAAGAGAGUUAAAAAGCACGUGAAAUUGUUGAAAGGGAAGCGCUUGCAGCCAGACUUGCCUGUAGUUGCUCAUCCAGGUUUCUACCUGGUGCACUCUUCUAUAGGCAGGCCAGCAUCAGUUUGGGCGGUUGGAUAAAGGUCUCUGUCAUGUACCUCUCUUCGGGGAGAACUUAUAGGGGAGACGACAUGCAACCAGCCUGGACUGAGGUCCGCGCAUCUGCUAGGAUGCUGGCGUAACGGCUGUAAGCGGCCCGUCUUGAAACACGGACCAAGGAGUCUAACAUCUAUGCGAGUGUUUGGGUGUCAAGCCCGAGCGCGUAAUGAAAGUGAACGGAGGUGGGAACCUUUCGGGGUGCACCAUCGACCGAUCCUGAUGUCUUCGGAUGGAUUUGAAUAAGAGCAUAGCUGUUGGGACCCGAAAGAUGGUGAACUAUGCUUGAAUAGGGUGAAGCCAGAGGAAACUCUGGUGGAGGCUCGCAGCGGUUCUGACGUGCAAAUCGAUCGUCAAAUUUGGGCAUAGGGGCGAAAGACUAAUUGAACUAUCUAGUAGCUGGUUCCUGCCGA
rnacentral:rRNA from 1 species